rnacentral:rRNA from 1 species
ACGCUCGACACCUAAGGCAGCAGUGGGGAAUAUUGCACAAUGGGGGAAACCCUGAUGCAGCGACGCCGCGUGGAGGAAGAAGGUCUUCGGAUUGUAAACUCCUGUUGUUGGGGAAAAAGAGGAUGGUACCCAACAAGGAAGUGACGGCUAACUACGUGCCUGCAGCCGCGGUAAUCUGAGCGGGCUGGCAAGGC